AAGAGCAUCUCCCAGGAUGAAUGUUCUGAGCAACUCACUUUGGGACAUGUUGACUUUAGUCACUGGGUUAACAGAACACCUGAGUAAGGAACAGAUGACCUUGUUGUGUUCUAUGCGGUGGAUGAGGACUCGGAGAACUACUGAGGAGGAAGUUAUUUUCCUCCUCAUUACAAAUGCCAGGGACAGCUUUUAGAAGGAAGGGCCCUCCAUGGAAGGGCUACAGAGUACAAGGCCAGAGAACACCAGGAAAGUCACAAGGAAAGUCACAUAGUGGCUGAAAGGAGGAUGGGGCAAAGACGCAGCGAUGCCAACAUCACCUCACUGUUUGACUACAGCCAGGCCUGGCUGUGGAGGACACCUGCCUCUGUGACAGAGGGCUGAUACAGUGACAAAGGGAUGAUAAUACUCAAGGAAGUCUCAGAGGAAGUGAUACCUUGAGCUGGUUCAUCUUAACUGGGAAUGUUUCCACAAGAUUUCAAGUGACGCAGCUGGUAUGAACUAUUGAAUGUAACUGGUAUGAGGUAUUGUGCAUGACAAGAGCACCGGAUACAGAUGCAUAAAAAAGGGGAUGAAUA